rnacentral:tRNA from 1 species
UGAUAAUUAGUUUAAAUCAAAACAAGUGAUUUCGACUCACUAGAUUAUGAA